UGUGUAUAAAAAUAGCCCGUGCUCUCUCUGCCUGAGAGGGAGGAGGCAGGCACCUAGUGAACCAGCGAGAGAGCGCUACAGUCCCCUCCUUCCUGCUGGCCCCUCACCCUGAGGCAGCCCUGUGGCCUGGGGCGGAAGGGCCCCUACUUCUGCAGUGCUGGAGUCCCAGGUUCUUGGCACCCAGGAAUGAAACAGCAUCUUCUCUAACAUCAGGCCCCACGGGAGGCCAACAGAUUAACGCGUUUGCUCAGGGCCUUGCAGCUGCUGGACACUCCAUCCCCGAUCCUCACUGCAGAGAACAGACUCCUGAGCUCCAGAAAGCCUGGGGACUGACCACAGCUCCCCGAGGAGCUCCUGCAGAGCCUGGAAGUCCAGGGCUGAGGCCUGUUACCGUCACAUCACUGUCUCUGCCUCAGCCUGCACAUGGCUUUCCCCUCUUCUGUGUCCCUGCCUUGUCUCCUCUAAGGACACUUUUGAUGACACGGAGACCCCACCUGGGUAAUCUAGGAUGAUCGGAUCUCAGUAUCCUUGACAUCUACAAAGGACCCUUUCUCCAGAUAAGGUCAUAUCCACAGGUUCCAGGGAUAAAGAUGUGGACUUAUCUUUUGGGGGCCGCCAUUCAACCCGGUGCAACCACGAGCGUUAUCACUGCUGUCAGCAUCCUUACAAACAUCAGUUAAGUACUAAUGUACCAGGCUUAGUCUGGGUGCUUUUCCUGUACCAUCUCCUUUAGUCCUUAAGACAAACUUAGGGCAGGUACUGUUAUUAUCCCCAUUUAAUAAGGACAUCGAGGCUCAGGGAGAAGUGAGCCCUUGUCCAGGGUCUCCCUUGAAACCCAGGCAGUCUGAUUUCAGUGUCUCCUGCCUUGCCAUAGUUACCUUGCUCCACCCCAUCCUGUUUCUGAUCAUACAGAUAAUUCCAUGGCAGAAUCAGUGUGGGACAAUGAGCACCCAAAUGGGUGGCAAGGUGCCUGGGUUCUGAUCUAGGUUCUGCCAUUAGACAGAGGCAGAUGCCAGCCGGGUCUCUUCCCCACUCUGGGCCUCAGUGUGCCCAUUGGUAAAAUCGGAAAGUGGUUGGUUUGGAUAAUCUCCAAGAUCCU
rnacentral:lncRNA from 1 species